UACAGAGGGGGCAAGCGUUAUUCGGAAUUAUUGGGCGUAAAGCGUGCGUAGACGGUUAUGUAAGUCAGGUGUGAAAGCCCCGGGCUCAACCUGGAAACUGCCAUUGAUACUAUUUGUCUUGAAUCUUGUUGAGGUAGGCGGAAUAUGUCAUGUAGCGGUGAAAUGCUUAGAUAUGACAUAGAACACCGAUUGCGAAGGCAGCUUACUAAACAAGCAUUGACGCUGAGGCACGAAAGCGUGGGGAUCAAACAGG
rnacentral:rRNA from 1 species